GUCGUCGUUUUCGUCGGCGUUGGCAUCGUUGCGUAGUGGCCGCUAUUUGCUGCUCCAGUUCUAUCGUAGAGUUUAAGCUAAAAGGUUCAUACGCCGUUUCGCAGUCAUCGUUGACGUCGUCGUGGUCGUGGUCGUCUCUGUCGCUAUCUCUUCCUUAAGCUUCGCAGCUGCCUGCAGAUGCGCGCCCGGCCAAAACGCCAGUGAGCGCUUCUUGGCAUCAAACGUUGCAGCAGCAGCAGCACCACCACUAAUACUAUUACCACCACUAACUAAACCACUAUACAAGUCUAUCGUCACUUGUUUAUCACCAACUGUCAACUGAAAAUCGUGUGGUCCAGCUAAAUUUUUUCUGCACUGACUUUUCUUUCGUACGGUCGAGCAAAAAACUGUUUAUUCUUAAGUGGAACGACAACAUAUCGAUUUGUGCGCGAAUUUAUUGACAAAAA